AUUGAACGCUGGCGGCAGGCCUAACACAUGCAAGUCGAGCGGAGAGGCGGAAGGGUGAGUAAUACCUAGGACUGUGCCAGUUAGUGAGGGAUCACUUUGGGAAACGGAACCUAAUGCCGCAUCCUAUCAGAGGAGCCUCGGUGGGAUUAGCUAGUUGGUGGGGUAAUGGCUCACCAAGUCCACGAGCCGUAACUGGUCUGAGAGUAUGAUCAGUCACACUGGAACUGAGACACGGUCCAGACUCCUACGGGAGGCAGCAGUGGGGAAUAUUGGACAAGGGGCGAAAGCCUGAUCCAGCCAUGCCGCGUGUGUGAAGAAGGUCUUCGGAUUGUAAAGCACUUUAAUUUGGGAGGCGUUACCUACAGAAUAAGCACCGGCUAACUCUGUGCCAGCAGCCGCGGUAAUUC
rnacentral:rRNA from 1 species